UAGUAGGCGCACAGACACACAUGAUAUAACAAAACACGGAGAUUAAUAACGCGCUUCCCAAGAUACACAGGCUGGGUUUUCGGGAUUCUCAACCCUCGGAGGCAGAAGAAGAUGAAUUUAGCUACCGGCUUUAACUUCUGCAUUGCUUUUCAAAGAUAUAUAUUCUCCAUUGUCAUUCAAGCUUUUUGGGCUGAGACCAUGGUUCCAGAAUCAUAUUGUUCGGUGUAGGCAUUCCGAGACAUAACCUCCAAGAAGUUUACAUGUUCCGAAAAACAGCUUUGCUUCUCAAAAAUAUAUAUUCUGCAUUACUCUACAAGCUUUCGCGGCUGAGACCGUGGUACCAGAAUCAUAUUGUUCGGUGUAGGCAUUCCGAGACAUUUCCUCCAAGAAGUUAACAUGUUUUCGCGGAACAGUUUCUGGCCAGUGAGUGGAACUGGGAACGAAAAGAUUGCAUUCUUGCUCCUGGUUGCUGCUCUGCUGCUUGGAGCUCAGGAGGUGACAGAUGCUGGCUGGACAUCUCUUUGUUGACGGCCGGGAUUAAAGUUGUUUUUUGCAACAGAGAGUUAAUGAGGGUCGCGUGACAAAAUCAUGCACUAAACAUCUGGAUGACUGAAAAAACCAUAAAAUCAAGGCUUUCAUUCGGUGUUCGGUGUAGGCAUUCCGAGACAUUUCCUCCAAGAAGUUAACAUGUUUUCGCGGAACAGUUUCUGGCCAGUGAGUGGAACUGGGAACGAAAAGAUUGCAUUCUUGCUCCUGGUUGCUGCUCUGCUGCUUGGAGCUCAGGAGGUGACAGAUGCUGGCUGGACAUCUCUUUGUUGACGGCCGGGAUUAAAGUUGUUUUUUGCAACAGAGAGUUAAUGAGGGUCGCGUGACAAAAUCAUGCACUAAACAUCUGGAUGACUGAAAAAACCAUAAAAUCAAGGCUUUCAUUCGGUGUUCGGUGUAGGCAUUCCGAGACAUUUCCUCCAAGAAGUUAACAUGUUUUCGCGGAACAGUUUCUGGCCAGUGAGUGGAACUGGGAACGAAAAGAUUGCAUUCUUGCUCCUGGUUGCUGCUCUGCUGCUUGGAGCUCAGGAGGUGACAGAUGCUGGCUGGACAUCUCUUUGUUGACGGCCGGGAUUAAAGUUGUUUUUUGCAACAGAGAGUUAAUGAGGGUCGCGUGACAAAAUCAUGCACUAAACAUCUGGAUGACUGAAAAAACCAUAAAAUCAAGGCUUUCAUUCGGUGUUCGGUGUAGGCAUUCCGAGACAUUUCCUCCAAGAAGUUAACAUGUUUUCGCGGAACAGUUUCUGGCCAGUGAGUGGAACUGGGAACGAAAAGAUUGCAUUCUUGCUCCUGGUUGCUGCUCUGCUGCUUGGAGCUCAGGAGGUGACAGAUGCUGGCUGGACAUCUCUUUGUUGACGGCCGGGAUUAAAGUUGUUUUUUGCAACAGAGAGUUAAUGAGGGUCGCGUGACAAAAUCAUGCACUAAACAUCUGGAUGACUGAAAAAACCAUAAAAUCAAGGCUUUCAUUCGGUGUUCGGUGUAGGCAUUCCGAGACAUUUCCUCCAAGAAGUUAACAUGUUUUCGCGGAACAGUUUCUGGCCAGUGAGUGGAACUGGGAACGAAAAGAUUGCAUUCUUGCUCCUGGUUGCUGCUCUGCUGCUUGGAGCUCAGGAGGUGACAGAUGCUGGCUGGACAUCUCUUUGUUGACGGCCGGGAUUAAAGUUGUUUUUUGCAACAGAGUGUUAAUGAGGGUCGCGUGACAAAAUCAUGCACUAAACAUCUGGAUGACUGAAAAAACCAUAAAAUCAAGGCUUUCAUUCGGUGUUCGGUGUAGGCAUUCCGAGACAUUUCCUCCAAGAAGUUAACAUGUUUUCGCGGAACAGUUUCUGGCCAGUGAGUGGAACUGGGAACGAAAAGAUUGCAUUCUUGCUCCUGGUUGCUGCUCUGCUGCUUGGAGCUCAGGAGGUGACAGAUGCUGGCUGGACAUCUCUUUGUUGACGGCCGGGAUUAAAGUUGUUUUUUGCAACAGAGUGUUAAUGAGGGUCGCGUGACAAAAUCAUGCACUAAACAUCUGGAUGACUGAAAAAACCAUAAAAUCAAGGCUUUCAUUCGGUGUUCGGUGUAGGCAUUCCGAGACAUUUCCUCCAAGAAGUUAACAUGUUUUCGCGGAACAGGCCCGAGUAGUAGUGCAACACUCAAGCGACACGUGAAGAGCCCUAUAGCAAGCUAUUUUGGUGGGCCUUCCCCCUUAAAAAAUAAAUUUAAUAUCGUGUGAACCAAUAGCCCACAUAUCAGAUAUUAAACUGAUAAGAACAGAUACUACACUUGAUCUUAGCCAAAAGGCCGAGAAAGGUAUGCCUCAACAAAUUGUGUGACAACGUUUAUAAACUGAGAUGGACGGCUUCCAACCCAAAAUAUAUCCUGGUGGUACGUAGUAGAAUCCAGCCACGUAGCCUAGAAGGGGAACUAAACGCGAGCAUAAAUUAUUUAGAGGUUAUAAACUACAUAAGCAAAAAGAGAGAAUCAAAAAAAUUGUAUGACGAGCUGGUAUAGAUGUGAAGCCAGGGGAAAAUGGGUUUGCUCAACCGAGUCAUCCACGGAAACAACACCGCAAAUUUCCUUGCUGCAUUAUUUUUUGCGAAACACGUCAAGUCCAUCGCUAGCAACUCUGUUGCAGUGGAGCAGCAUGAGCAAAUUGAAGUAAUUACUGCACUGAUGAAGAGGUCUGUUGAGACACUUGAUGCUAGGAACAAUGUAUUUCCUUUCUGUCGGUGGAUUGCUUAAAGUUGUAGCUUGAUUAUUUUGGGGGGGAUCCGUACAAAAGGCCCCUCCAAAACUAGGCAUAUGCCACUGUUAGUGAGCACUCAGUAUUCUGUAGUAAAAGGCGAAAAAACAGUUUGCUGUGUGCAAGUCACAUGGCUGUGUUAUUUGGAAGAAGAAACGGGGACAGCAACCUGAUUUAAGAGGACAAGAAAUUAGAC